GCUGCAAGAGGCUGGGGAGACGCUGGGGCGAGGCCGGCCCCACAUGGAGGCCCAAGCGGAGCCAGCAUGGGGGAGCCUCCACCAAGGGCCCAUCGGUCUUCCCCCUGGCGUCCUCCUCCAGGAGCACCUCCCAGAGCACAGCGGCCCUGGGCUGCCUGGUCAAGGACUACUUCCCCGAACCCGUGACCGUGUCGUGGAACUCAGGCGCCCUGACCAGCGGCGUGCACACCUUCCCGGCUGUCCUACAGUCCUCAGGGCUCUACUCCCUCAGCAGCGUGGUGACCGUGCCCUCCAGCAGCUUGGGCACCCAGACCUACACCUGCAACGUCGUUCAUGAGCCCAGCAACACCAAGGUGGACAAGAGAGUUGAGUUCCCAAGUGGUCCCAACUGCCCACCGUGCCCAGCUGAACUCCUGGGGGGACCGUCAGUCUUCCUCUACCCCCCAAAACCCAAGGACACCCUCAUGAUCUCCCGGACCCCUGAGGUCACGUGCGUGGUGGUGGACGUGAGCCAGGAAGACCCCGAGGUCCAGUUCAACUGGUACGUGGACGGCGUGGAGGUGCACAAUGCCCAGACAAAGCCGCGGGAGAGGCAGUUCAACAGCACGUACCGCGUGGUCAGCGUCCUCACCGUCACACACCAGGACUGGCUGAGCGGCAAGGAGUACACGUGCAAGGUCUCCAACAAAGGCCUCCCGGCCCCUGUCGAGAAAACCAUCUCCAAAGCCAAAGGGCAGCCCCGAGAGCCGCAGGUGUACACCCUGCCCCCGCCCCGGGAGGAGCUGACCAAGAACCAGGUCACCCUGACCUGCCUGGUCACAGGCUUCUACCCCAGCGACAUCGUCGUGGAGUGGGAGAGCAACGGGCAGCCGGAGAACACCUACAAGACCACCCCGCCCGUGCUAGACUCCGAUGGCUCCUACUUACUCUACAGCAAGCUCACCGUGGACAAGAGCAGGUGGCAGCCAGAGAACGUCUUCACAUGCUCCGUGAUGCAUGAGGCUCUGCACAACCACUACACCCAGAAGAGCCUCUCCGUGUCUCCGGAGCUGCAACUGGAGGAGAGCUGUGCGGAGGCGCAGGACGGGGAGCUGGACGGGCUGUGGACGACCAUCACCAUCUUCAUCACACUCUUCCUGCUAAGCGUGUGCUACAGUGCCACCGUCACCUUCUUCAAGUCCUUGGCACUGUUCCCCAUGCUGUCCCCUCCUGUAGGCAAACCUGUCCACCAUACUCUCUCCUCCUGUUCCUGA